ACGGUACCUUGCGAGAAAGCCACGGCUAACUACGUGCCAGCAGCCGCGGUAAUACGUAGGUGGCAAGCGUUGUCCGGAAUUAUUGGGCGUAAAGCGCGCGCAGGCGGCCUCUUAAGUCUGAUGUGAAAGCCCCCGGCUCAACCGGGGAGGGCCAUUGGAAACUGGGAGGCUUGAGUAUAGGAGAGAAGAGUGGAAUUCCACGUGUAGCGGUGAAAUGCGUAGAGAUGUGGAGGAACACC
rnacentral:rRNA from 1 species